rnacentral:rRNA from 1 species
UACAGAGGGGGCAAGCGUUGUUCGGAAUUACUGGGCGUAAAGGGCGCGUAGGCGGCCUUCUAAGUCGAACGUGAAAUCCCCGGGCUCAACCCGGGAACUGCGUCCGAUACUGGAAGGCUUGAAUCCGGGAGAGGGAUGCGGAAUUCCAGGUGUAGCGGUGAAAUGCGCAGAUAUCAGGAGGAACACCAAUGGCGAAGGCAGCUCGCUGGGACGUGACUGACGCUGAGACGCGAAAGCGUGGGGAGCAAACAGG